rnacentral:rRNA from 1 species
GAUUGAACGCUGGCGGCAUGCCUUACACAUGCAAGUCGAACGGUAACGGGCCUUCGGGUGCCGACGAGUGGCGAACGGGUGAGUAAUACAUCGGAACGUGCCCGAUCGUGGGGGAUAACGAGGCGAAAGCUUUGCUAAUACCGCAUACGAUCUACGGAUGAAAGCAGGGGACCGCAAGGCCUUGCGCGGACGGAGCGGCCGAUGGCAGAUUAGGUAGUUGGGGGGAUAAAAGCUUACCAAGCCGACGAUCUGUAGCUGGUCUGAGAGGAUGAUCAGCCACACUGGGACUGAGACACGGCCCAGACUCCUACGGGAGGCAGCAGUGGGGAAUUUUGGACAAUGGGCGCAAGCCUGAUCCAGCCAUGCCGCGUGCAGGAUGAAGGCCUUCGGGUUGUAAACUGCUUUUGUACGGAACGAAAAGCCUUCUUUUAAUACAGGAGGGUCAUGACGGUACCGUAAGAAUAAGCACCGGCUAACUACGUG